AACGAACGCUGGCGGCAUGCCUAACACAUGCAAGUCGAACGAGACCUUCGGGUCUAGUGUCGCACGGGUGCGUAACGCGUGGGAACCUGCCCUUAGGUUCGGAAUAACUCCCCGAAAGGGGUGCUAAUACCGGAUAAUGUCUUCGGACCAAAGAUUUAUCGCCUUUGGAUGGGCCCGAGUUGGAUUAGCUUGUUGGUAGGGUAAAAGCCUACCACGGCGACGAUCCAUAGCUGGUCUGAGAGGAUGAUCAGCCACACUGGGACUGGGACACGGCCCAGACUCAUACGGGAGGGAGGAGUGGGGAAUAGUGGACAAAGGGCGAAAGACUGAUGGAGGAAUGACGGGUGAGUGAUGAAGGCCUUAGGGAUGUAAAGCUGUUUUACCCGGGAUGAUAAUGACAGUACCGGGAGAAUAAGCGCCGGCUAACUCCGUG
rnacentral:rRNA from 1 species